rnacentral:rRNA from 1 species
UACGGGGGGGCAAGCGUUGUUCGGAAUUACUGGGCGUAAAGGGCGCGUAGGCGGCUUUUCAAGUCGGGCGUGAAAUCUCCAGGCUUAACCUGGAAGGGUCGUUCGAUACUGUUAAGCUAGAGUGUGGAAGAGGCUACUGGAAUUCCGUGUGUAGCGGUGAAAUGCGUAGAUAUACGGAGGAACACCAGUGGCGAAGGCGGCGAUCUGGACAGAUAUUGACGCUGAUGUGCGAAAGCGUGGGGAGCAAACAGG